AGGUUAUGGAGCAUUUACACACAGUCCUGACAGAAAAGAUGUGUGUCAGCAAGCCAGUACAUGGAUCCAUCUACACAAGAUACAGAUCAUAUGAAAACCUGAAAAAUCAACACCUAGAACAUAUCCUGAGAGAAAACAUUUUAAUGGGAGUACAUUACAUGAACCUGGUUUUGGUUAAAGAAUCUAUAGUGUAUCUGAUAUGUAAGAGAACAGGUUUACCAUACGAAGAAGCAGAUGAAAGAUGCACUCUUACAGAGCGUUCUGUACAGGAUGAA